rnacentral:rRNA from 1 species
UACGAAGGGGGCUAGCGUUGCUCGGAAUCACUGGGCGUAAAGCGCACGUAGGCGGCUUCUUAAGUCAGGGGUGAAAUCCUGGAGCUCAACUCCAGAACUGCCCUUGAUACUGAGGAGCUUGAGUCCGGGAGAGGUGAGUGGAACUGCGAGUGUAGAGGUGAAAUUCGUAGAUAUUCGCAAGAACACCAGUGGCGAAGGCGGCUCACUGGCCCGAUACUGACGCUGAGGCACGAAAACG